UACGAAGGGGGCUAGCGUUGCUCGGAAUUACUGGGCGUAAAGGGCGCGUAGGCGGACAGUUUAGUCAGAGGUGAAAGCCCAGGGCUCAACCUUGGAACUGCCUUUGAUACUGGCUGUCUUGAGUUCGGGAGAGGUGAGUGGAAUGCCGAGUGUAGAGGUGAAAUUCGUAGAUAUUCGGCGGAACACCAGUGGCGAAGGCGACUCACUGGCCCGAUACUGACGCUGAGGCGCGAAAGCGUGGGGAGCAAACAGA
rnacentral:rRNA from 1 species